rnacentral:lncRNA from 1 species
CGGAGACGGGACAGCGACAGGGCAGUUCCAGAAGUUCUGGAGGCUGGAAGUCCAAGGUCAGGGUGCUGGCAGAAUCAGUUCCUGGUGAUGUCUCUCUUCCUGGUUUGCAGUCAGCCGCCUUCUCACUGUGUCCUCACCUGGCGGAAGAGGGGAGCAGAAAGCAAGCUCUCUGGUCUCCUCUUAUAAGGGCACUAAUCCUGCCUUGAGGGCACCACCCUUGGGACCUGAUCUAACCCUCCCAAAGGCCCACCUCCAAAACACCAUCACACUGGGGGGUUAUGGCUUCAACAUGUGAAUUUUGA